rnacentral:rRNA from 1 species
AACGAACGCUGGCGGCAUGCCUAACACAUGCAAGUCGAACGAACCCUUCGGGGUGAGUGGCGCACGGGUGCGUAACGCGUGGGAACCUGCCCUUAGGUUCGGAAUAACAGUGAGAAAUCGCUGCUAAUACCGGGAUAAUGUCUUCGGACCAAAGAUUUAUCGCCUUUGGAUGGGCCCGCGUUGGAUUAGCUAGUUGGUGGGGUAAAGGCUCACCAAGGCGACGAUCCAUAGCUGGUCUUAGAGGAUGAUCAGCCACACUGGGACUGAGACACGGCCCAGACUCCUACGGGAGGCAGCAGUGGGGAAUAUUGGACAAUGGGCGAAAGCCUGAUCCAGCAAUGCCGCGUGAGUGAUGAAGGCCUUAGGGUUGUAAAGCUCUUUUACCAGGGAUGAUAAUGACAGUACCUGGAGAAUAAGCUCCGGCUAACUCCGUG